AUUGUGCAGGCACGUGACAUUCUCGCGGUUACAAGUCCGUCUCCAGAGAUCUUCAUGUUCCUGUGUCCUCUGUGCCCAACAUUGUCAGGAAGUUUCCAGCCCUCGG